UACGUAGGGUGCGAGCGUUAAUCGGAAUUACUGGGCGUAAAGCGUGCGCAGGCGGCGGCUCAAGUCAGGUGUGAAAUCCCCGGGCUUAACCUGGGAAUUGCGCUUGAAACUAGGUCGCUAGAGUGUGGCAGAGGGGGGUGGAAUUCCACGGUGUAGCAGUGAAAUGCGUAGAGAUGUGGAGGAACACCGAUGGCGAAGGCAGCCCCCUGGGUCAACACUGACGCUCAUGCACGAAAGCGUGGGGAGCAAACAGG
rnacentral:rRNA from 1 species